UGGUGACAUAGGUUAGACUUGGCCCUCGAU
rnacentral:piRNA from 1 species